rnacentral:rRNA from 1 species
UAAUACGGAGGGUGCAAGCGUUAUCCGGAUUUACUGGGUUUAAAGGGUGCGCAGGCGGAUAUGUAAGUCAGUGGUGAAAUCUUUGGGCUUAACCCGAAAAUUGCCAUUGAUACUAUAUAUCUUGAAUGCUGUGGAGGUAAGCGGAAUAUGUCAUGUAGCGGUGAAAUGCUUAGAUAUGACAUAGAACACCUAUUGCGAAGGCAGCUUACUACGCAGAUAUUGACGCUCAUGCACGAAAGCGUGGGGAUCAAACAGGAUUAGAUACCCUGGUAGUCCACGCCCUAAACGAUGAUUACUCGACAUACGCGAUACACAGUGUGUGUCUGAGCGAAAGCAUUAAGUAAUCCACCUGGGAAGUACGACCGCAAGGUUG